UCGCUCUUUAGGUGAAGAUUUAUCAUCCAAACGCGCAAAAGAUCUUCAUCAUCAUCUUCUACUUCCAAAUUCCCAAAUCUUCCAUCUAGGGUUCCGAUUGAGACUUCCAGAGCUGUAAUCGGUGUUUAAAGGGACAGAUUGAAGCUGAAGGUGUUGUCAUCAACAAGCCGACCAUGGUUCAGGAGGGAUUCUGAUUCUGUUCUUUCAAAAGUCUCUGUUGGAACCGCCGGUGACGUCGCCUGUGUGUAAUCCGAAGUUUUUGGAUUUGGUAACACCUUUGGUUCCUGCUCAGUAUCAUUCAGUGGUUGAUUAUUCUUAUUACUAUUGUUUUUUUUUUAUUUAGAUUUAUUGUUUGUUUACAGAAUAAACAUUAGUUGUUUUGCUAUUUUUGAUACUUUAACAAUUUUCAGAUGAGAAAGAUAACAUGCCACCGGCCAGUAAGGUUUUCUAAAGAGGGUGGUUAAGCUCUAAAAGAUGUGAUCUUGAUAAGGUUUUUCUGGUGAUCAAACUAUUGUUAAUACAGGGUAUUUUAAAAUUUGAAGUUGCAUAAGCAUAAUGUAUAUUUUAAGGUCUGAAUUAGCAUUUUACGCGAAUAGGAGCAUUCCCAAACGCUAAAUCCGUUGGAGCAUUCCCAAAACGUGAUUUUAUAUGAUAUGUAAUGAAUUUAAUGAAAAUCGUGUACGGCCUGUUUUUUUGGUUUGGUUCACGAACCCAUGGCGCUUGGUUCGAUUUUGUACCCGAGUCCGUUACGGGCGAUCUGGUUUGCUAUACGAGAGGGGGGGGGGGUCUGCGCUUCCUGUGAUUAAGGGCUAAUAUGCAUAAAUAAGGUUUACGACUGCAAGUUAUGUAUUCCAAUUUAAUUAUGUAGUGAUUUUUUGAAAUUCUAAUAAAAGGUUGCUCUUAUUACUUCUAAAGGAUAAAGGUCAAUGUAGUCAACUGGAGGCUCUUAACAGGUUACUAAAUAAAGAUGGUCAUGAAGUUAAAUCUAAGCAAGUCACUAUGGAGGCUGAUACAAGUGGAUCACCCCUAGCAUAUGUGAAGGCAUGGUUGUAAAACAAGGUUUCCAAGGCCGAGUACUCUCUGAGUAGUCGCUACAAGCCACAACAACUUGAUGACAUACUCGCAAUCCCAAAGGAAAGAAUCGAUAUACUGAAAGACCAAGUAUUUGGCUUCGACACCUUUUUUAUUACUAGCUAGGAACCGUAUCAGGGUGGGGUGUUGUUUAAAGGAAACCUACGAGGCUCAGCUGCGGUGAGUUACAAAAAGAUUGAAAAAAGGCUUCAGGUUAGUUUAAUUUUUUCAUUUUUAUAACUUUUAUUUUCUUAAAAUAG